rnacentral:rRNA from 1 species
GUCGUAGGUAGGUAGCUUUAGUUCCAUACUGAUUCAGUCCGUCCAAAGUAGAUAGAGGGAAACUGCCUGAUGGAGGGGGAUAACUACUGGAAACGGUAGCUAAUACCGCAUAACGUCGCAAGACCAAAGAGGGGGACCUUCGGGCCUCUUGCCAUCGGAUGUGCCCAGAUGGGAUUAGCUAGUAGGUGGGGUAACGGCUCACCUAGGCGACGAUCCCUAGCUGGUCUGAGAGGAUGACCAGCCACACUGGAACUGAGACACGGUCCAGACUCCUACGGGAGGCAGCAGUGGGGAAUAUUGCACAAUGGGCGCAAGCCUGAUGCAGCCAUGCCGCGUGUAUGAAGAAGGCCUUCGGGUUGUAAAGUACUUUCAGCGGGGAGGAAGGCGAUAAGGUUAAUAACCUUGUCGAUUGACGUUACCCGCAGAAGAAGCACCGGCUAACUCCGUGCCAGCAGCCGCGGUAAUACGGAGGGUGCAAGCGUUAAUCGGAAUUACUGGGCGUAAAGCGCACGCAGGCGGUCUGUCAAGUCGGAUGUCACUUUAGGGGCCCGAGUUGGACCCUGACGUAAGCUUUGACCGUCCGAUCUCAGAACAUCUCCCCCCAUCUUAAGGUCCACAUCGCCACUUUACGCAUCUCUAGACCUCCUUAUGGCCACCGCUUCCGCCGGGGGACCUGUUUCUGACUGCGAGUCCACGCUUUCGCACCCCUCGUUUGUCCUAAUCUAUGGGACCAUCAGGUGCGGCAUUUGCUACAGCUGAACCUCCAACACGGGAACUCCGCACCGAAGGCCUCGAUUGCGCAAUUCAGCUGGCGGACCCCUCAUGCCGGCGUUCCAAUUUUGAGUUUACUUAACUGCCCCCGGGCGUGUUCGCCACCUCGUACACCAAAUUAAGCUACGUUGCGCUUCUUGGAAUGGAUGAGAACUGUAGGUCUCUUGAAAGGUCUCUACCUAACCACGGAAGCCCUUGAGACUCUGUCCACGACGUACCGACAGCAGUCGAGCACAACACUUUACAACCCAAUUCAGGGCGUUGCUCGCGUUGGGAAUAGGAAACAACGGUCGCCAAUCCGGCCCUUGAGUUUCCUCUGACGGUCACUAUUUGACCUCCUUCCACCCCUACUGCAGUUCAGUAGUACCGGGAAUGCUCAUCCCGAUGUGUGCACGAUGUUACCGCGUAUGUUUCUCUUCGCUGGAGCGCUCUCGUUCGCCUGGAGUAUUUCACGCAGCAUCAGGCCUAACCUCAGACGUUGAUCUCUGGUACUUCAUCAUUCACGAUCGAUCGAUCUAACUCAAGCACGGACUCAUUCAAUCAAGAUCGAUCGAUCUCAAACUAGGAGGGAGGCAUUCAACCUCGAUCGAUCUAUCACAGGUCGGAGGGAUU